GGGGAUGUGGCUCAGUUGGUAGAGUGCUUGCCUUGCAUGCAGAGUCCUGGGUUUAGUCUCCAGCACUGCG
rnacentral:tRNA from 1 species